rnacentral:misc_RNA from 1 species
UACGGAGGGUGCAAGCGUUGUCCGGAUUUAUUGGGUUUAAAGGGUGCGUAGGCGGCCCGUUAAGUCAGUGGUGAAAUCCCGGGGCUCAACCCCGGAACUGCCAUUGAUACUGGCGGGCUUGAGUUCGGUCGAGGCGGGCGGAACUGGUGGUGUAGCGGUGAAAUGCAUAGAUACCACCAAGAACCCCGAUUGCGUAGGCAGCUCGCUGGGCCUGAACUGACGCUGAGGCACGAAAGCGUGGGGAGCGAACAGG